GGGGGAAGAGAGAGUGAUUGGGCAGAGGUCAGACUCUUCUUCAUAAGUGUUUGUUUUUCAAAGAUUAGCCUUUAUAACACCAUUUCUAAAUCACCUGGAAUUCUCAUUAAAAUCCUAGGCUGAUCUCUGACCUAAAAAAAUCAAUGGAGGAGAGGGAGUCUAGAAUAUAUAUGUUUUAACAAGCUUCUUAAGUAAUUUCUUCCACUCUUUGAAGUUAGAGAGCUACUGUUUUAUGUGAGAAAUGCAGAUACCUUGAUGGAAUAUUAAUUUAAAAUUUUAAAGUUAAUUAUUUAAUAUAUAAGGUGGUGUUCACAUUGGUAUAUUUAAUCUGUUGAUUUGGAAUAAAGUCUGCUACAUACAUUCUAGUCCACAAAUUCUAAAGGGAACACAUUUUACUUUUGUUAGCACAUUUGAAUUUCAUAUGCCUAACGUUUCCUAGCACUUAUCAGUGCUCAUUUCUCUAAGCUGGUGGCUACAAUCAGGGCACAGCUUCUUACCUAAGCCACUAAAAAAUUAUCUUUGCUAGAACUGGAAAUAGGGCUUAUUUUCCCUCCUCCUGGGCUUUAGCCUCUAAUUGUCACUUAUUUCUUGAAAUUUAAAAGUCAUUCUCUUUCCAAGAAAAUACUCCACAACUUUUCCUAUUAGGUAAUGUUUUGAAACCAGUGUUUCUCAAACUUCAGUGUGCGUCGGAAAAAUCUAGGCUUGUGGAGUCUGCAGGUUUUCUGAUUCAGUCAUCAUGGGCUGGGAUAGGUGACCUGCACUUUGGGCAUUUGCCCCAGUGGAUUGCUGGUGCAAGGACCGCGCUUCAAACUCCACUUGGGCAGUCCUAGCUCCUCAUGUUGUGGUUAUUCUGCCAUAAUCAUGAUGAAGAUAAUUCAGUUGCCUAAGAAAGAUUGUAACAAAUUUGUCUCAGACUCAUGAAGAAUGCAGACAAGUUGAAGUCAUCAAAGUGUUGUAUUCAGAUGGACAGAAACUCCAGGGCUGUGCAGCUGUGUGGGCUGAGCCUGUAGAGAUGCUUCAGUGAGCUGUGGAGGGGGAGAUGAAUUCUAGGUAUGCGCUGGAUGAUUUAGUAAGACCAUAAAAACCCAUAUAUCAACAUUUGGGUAAGACUUUUUCUUCCUUCCUUUUUUCCCUCCUUUCCUUUCAUCCAUCCUUCCUUUUUGUGGUAGGCAAUGUUAAAAUAAGAACCUUCACCACAUUAAAUUUAAUAGAGUUUAAUGGAGUAAAAAGUGACUUAUGAAUAGGGCAGCCUCCUGAGCCAGAAUAGGUUCAGGAAGAUUCCAGGGUAGAAGAUUUAUAGACAGUAAAAGGAAAGUGGCAUGCAGAAAACGGAGGGACAGAAACAGCUGGAUAGAUUACAGCUUGGUGUCUACCUUAUCUGAACAUGAUUUGAUCAGUUAGCCCCCUUAGAUUGGCCAAAACUUGGUGAUUGGCACAAGAGUAGGUUACAGUCUGUUUGCACUUCCAUUUAGGUUGUAGUUCAUUGUAGUUCACUAUGUACAGCGAAACGUUUAGGCUGAACUUAAAAUAAGGAAGAAGGCAACUUUAGGCUAAACAGCAGAAUAGUUGCCCAGGCGCCGUGGCUGAUUUAACAGCAGAAUGGUGGGCCAGACACGGUGGCUCACACCGGUAAUUCUAGCACUUUGGGAGGCCCAGGAGUUUGAGACCAGCCUGGGCAACAUGGUGAAACCCCAUCUCUACCUGCAAACCAAAAAUAAAAUUAGCUGAGCAUGGUGAGAAUACUCAAGAGGCUGAGGUGGGAGGAUUGCUUGAACCUGGGAGGCAGAGGUGGCAAUGAACCGAGAUCGCGCCACUGCACUCCAGCCUGGGGGACAGAGUCAGAUAGUUGCAAAAAAACACAAAAACCAAACAAAACACCAGCAGAAUAAUGAGUCCCUAAAAAUGUUCAGAUCCUAAUUCCUGGAAUUCAUGAAUAUAUUACUUUACAUGGAAAUAGGAACUUUGCAGAUGUGAUUAAGCUAAAAAUCUUGAAAUGGGGACAUUAUCUUGGAUUACCUGUGGAAGAGGAAGGCACAAAAGGACAUAAGAGUGAUGUGACGUGAGAAGGACUGGACCCAUUAUUGCUGGCUUUGAAAAUGGAAGAAAGAGUCACAAGCUAAGGAAUGCAAAUCGCCUCUAGAAGCCAGAAAAGGCAAGAAAAUGGACUCUCUUAGAGCCUCCAGGAAGAAACCAGCCCUGACACCCACCCCUCCUUUUCCUCCCCUCCCCUUCAUCCCCUCUCCAUCCCCUCCCCUUCAUCUCCUCUCCAUCCCCUCCCCUUCAUCCCCUCUCCAUCCCCUCCCCUUCAUCUCCUCCCCUUCCCUCCCCUUCAUCCCAUCCCCUUCAUCCCCUCCCCCCAUCCCCUCCCCUCCAUCCUCACCCCCCCUC
rnacentral:lncRNA from 10 species